UACGGAGGAUCCGAGCGUUAUCCGGAUUUAUUGGGUUUAAAGGGUGCGUAGGCGGUUCGGUAAGUUAGAGGUGAAAUUUCGGUGCUCAACAUCGACACUGCCUCUGAUACUGCCGGACUAGAGAAUAGUUGCAGAAGGCGGAAUGUGUAGUGUAGCGGUGAAAUGCUUAGAUAUUACACAGAACACCGAUUGCGAAGGCAGCUUUCUAAGCUAUAUCUGACGCUGAGGCACGAAAGCGUGGGGAGCAAAC
rnacentral:rRNA from 1 species